rnacentral:rRNA from 1 species
UACGGGGUGGGCAAGCGUUGUUCGGAAUUACUGGGCGUAAAGGGCUCGUAGGCGGCCAACUAAGUCAGACGUGAAAUCCCUCGGCUUAACCGGGGAACUGCAUCUGAUACUGGAUGGCUUGAGAUUGGGAGAGGGAUGCGGAAUUCCAGGUGUAGCGGUGAAAUGCGUAGAUAUCUGGAGGAACACCGGUGGCGAAGGCGGCAUCCUGGACCAACACUGACGCUGAGGAGCGAAAGCCAGGGGAGCAAACGGG